UACGUAGGGGGCAAGCGUUGUCCGGAUUUAUUGGGCGUAAAGAGCGUGUAGGCGGCCAGGUAGGUCUGCUGUGAAAACUCGGGGCUUAACCCCGAGCCUGCAGUGGAUACGGGCAGACUAGAGGUAGGUAGGGGAGAAUGGAAUUCCCGGUGUAGCGGUGAAAUGCGCAGAUAUCGGGAGGAACACCGGUGGCGAAGGCGGUUCUCUGGGCCUUACCUGACGCUGAGGAGCGAAAGCGUGGGGAGCGAACAGG
rnacentral:rRNA from 1 species